AAGUCGUAACAAGGUCUCCGUAGGUGAACCUGCGGAGGGAUCAUUAACACGUUUUAAAACACGUUUUAACACAACCAACCAACCACGUGAACUAUUUAACACUCCUGGAAGAAAAGAAUUCUGUCUCUACUUAUCAUCAAUGAGUUGUGUAAUACUUUGCGUGUAGUUUCAUCACUGCACGUAAUUACUUACAUUUCGGUGAGUCUAGACUAGCAUUGCAGUUAAGAGCUGACUUGUACAGACCUUUUCUUUUGGGCUAAAUGCGUCCCUCAUUGCUGGCGCGAAAACACCCCUUUCACCACUUCUAUAACCAUUGACUGAUCUUUUUUCUUUGUAAUAUAGGAAAAAAAACUAAUCAAAUAUCUAAGCACAACUCUUAGCAACGGAUAUCUUGGUUCUC
rnacentral:misc_RNA from 1 species